AGAGUUUGAUCAUGGCUCAGGAUGAACGCUAGCGGCAGGCUUAACACAUGCAAGUCGAGGGGUAACAGAGUAGCUUGCUACUGCUGACGACCGGCGCACGGGUGCGUAACGCGUAUACAAUCUACCUUAUACUGGGGUAUAGCCUUUAGAAAUGAAGAUUAACCCCCCAUAGUCUCUAAGAGUGGCAUCACAUUUAGAGUAAAGGUUACGGUAUAAGAUGAGUAUGCGUUCUAUUAGUUUGUUGGUGAGGUAACGGCUUACCAAGACUACGAUAGAUAGGGGCCCUGAGAGGGGGAUCCCCCACACUGGUACUGAGACACGGACCAGACUCCUACGGGAGGCAGCAGUGAGGAAUAUUGGACAAUGGAGGCAACUCUGAUCCAGCCAUGCCGCGUGUAGGAUGACUGCCCUAUGGGUUGUAAACUACUUUUAUACAGGAAGAAACACCUCUACGUGUAGAGGCUUGACGGUACUGUAAGAAUAAGGAUCGGCUAACUCCGUGCCAGCAGCCGCGGUAAUACGGAGGAUCCAAGCGUUAUCCGGAAUCAUUGGGUUUAAAGGGUCCGUAGGUGGAUAAUUAAGUCAGAGGUGAAAUCUUGCAGCUCAACUGUAAAAUUGCCUUUGAAACUGGUUAUCUUGAGUUAUUAUGAAGUAGUUAGAAUAUGUAGUGUAGCGGUGAAAUGCAUAGAUAUUACAUAGAAUACCAAUUGCGAAGGCAGAUUACUAAUAAUCAACUGACACUGAUGGACGAAAGCGUGGGUAGCGAACAGGAUUAGAUACCCUGGUAGUCCACGCCGUAAACGAUGGUUACUAGCUGUUUGGACUUCGGUCUGAGUGGCUAAGCGAAAGUGAUAAGUAACCCACCUGGGGAGUACGUUCGCAAGAAUGAAACUCAAAGGAAUUGACGGGGGCCCGCACAAGCGGUGGAGCAUGUGGUUUAAUUCGAUGAUACGCGAGGAACCUUACCAGGGCUUAAAUGUAAGUUGCAUUAGUUAGAGAUAGCUAUUUCUUCGGACCACUUACAAGGUGCUGCAUGGUUGUCGUCAGCUCGUGCCGUGAGGUGUCAGGUUAAGUCCUAUAACGAGCGCAACCCCUGUUGUUAGUUGCCAGCGAGUCAUGUCGGGAACUCUAACAAGACUGCCAGUGCAAACUGUGAGGAAGGUGGGGAUGACGUCAAAUCAUCACGGCCCUUACGUCCUGGGCUACACACGUGCUACAAUGGUAGGGACAGAGAGCAGCCACUGGGCGACCAGGAGCGAAUCUAUAAACCCUAUCACAGUUCGGAUCGGAGUCUGCAACUCGACUCCGUGAAGCUGGAAUCGCUAGUAAUCGGAUAUCAGCCAUGAUCCGGUGAAUACGUUCCCGGGCCUUGUACACACCGCCCGUCAAGCCAUGGAAGUUGGAAGUGCCUGAAGUCCGUCACCGCAAGGAGCGGCCUAGGGUAAAGUCGAUAACUAGGGCUAAGUCGUAACAAGGUA
rnacentral:rRNA from 1 species